GCUGCAGACUCUGCAGAAAAAAAUGUGUAGACUAGAUUGACAGUGUGUUGAAUGACUGUUUUAAUGGUGUUGGAUGUUUCACUAAUAGCUGCAGUGAUUAAACAUGAGUCGCUCAGAGGUCGUGAUCCAUCACUUAAUGUGAACAACACACACACACACAACUGCGAUACAGAAAAUAAUGACCAACUCUUUGUAUUAGGCCACAGACAUUGAUAUUGCAUCACCUGACCUCAAGUGACCUUUGACAGCCCGACACACUCACUGUCUCCCCUUGCUGGCUGUGACUGUACUGGAGAUGAAACUCCUCAGUGAUUCCUGUCUUUGUCUCUCUGUCUCUCUGUCUCUCAGUCUCUAUCAGCUGUAGCAGGUCUAAGCGCAAUCCUCAAGAGGCUCUACAGUUGCUGUCUUCAGCUCGACUCAGUUUGAAGAGCCUGGUCACCAAAGCCAAACAACUGUACACUGAUGUUGCCACAGGUGAACUCCAUGAUGACCUCAGAGGAGAUGUCACCGAGCUCCAGCAGCUCAUCACAGAGCUGCAGGACCUGAGUGCCCAGCUACGCAGCCAAUGAGAAGCCAUAGCUCUGUUCUUCUUCCCUUUGAUCCUGGAGGGCUUAGGUCUUCUGUCGCUUGUUAAAUCAAC